rnacentral:rRNA from 1 species
AUUGAACGCUGGCGGCAGGCCUAACACAUGCAAGUCGAGCGGAUGAAGGGAGCUUGCUCCUGGAUUCAGCGGCGGACGGGUGAGUAAUGCCUAGGAAUCUGCCUGGUAGUGGGGGAUAACGUCCGGUAACGGGCGCUAAUACCGCAUACGUUCUGAGGGAGAAAGUGGGGGAUCUUCGGACCUCACGCUAUCAGAUGAGCCUAGGUCGGAUUAGCUAGUUGGUGGGGUAAAGGCCUACCAAGGCGACGAUCCGUAACUGGUCUGAGAGGAUGAUCAGUCACACUGGAACUGAGACACGGUCCAGACUCCUACGGGAGGCAGCAGUGGGGAAUAUUGGACAAUGGGCGAAAGCCUGAUCCAGCCAUGCCGCGUGUGCGAAGAAGGUCUUCGGAUUGUAAAGCACUUUAAGUUGGGAGGAAGGGCAGUAAGUUAAUACCUUGCUGUUUUGACGUUACCAACAGAAUAAGCACCGGCUAACUUCGUG